GAUGAACGCUGGCGGCGUGCCUAAUACAUGCAAGUCGAGCGAACGGACGAGAAGCUUGCUUCUCUGAUGUUAGCGGCGGACGGGUGAGUAACACGUGGAUAACCUACCUAUAAGACUGGGAUAACUUCGGGAAACCGGAGCUAAUACCGGAUGAUAUUUUGAACCGCAUGGUUCAAAAGUGAAAGACGGUCUUGCUGUCACUUAUAGAUGGAUCCGCGCUGCAUUAGCUAGUUGGUAAGGUAACGGCUUACCAAGGCAACGAUGCAUAGCCGACCUGAGAGGGUGAUCGGCCACACGGUAACUGAGACACGGUCCAGACUCCUACGGGAGGCAGCAGUAGGGAAUCUUCCGCAAUGGGCGAAAGCCUGACGGAGCAACGCCGCGUGAGGGAUGAAGGUCUUCGGAUCGUAAAACUCUGUUAUUAGGGAAGAACAUAUGUGUAAGUAACUGUGCACAUCUUGACGGUACCUAAUCAGAAAGCCACGGCUAACUACGUG
rnacentral:rRNA from 1 species